GAUGAACGCUAGCUACAGGCUUAACACAUGCAAGUCGAGGGGUAACGAGAGGAAAGCUUGCUUUCCUUGUCGACGACCGGCGCACGGGUGAGUAACGCGUAUCCAACCUGCCCCCAACUAGGGAAUAACCUUGCGAAAGUAAGACUAAUACCCUAUAAUUUCCUCAGAUGUCAUCUGACGAGGAAUAAAGAUUUAUCGGUUGUGGAUGGGGAUGCGUCUGAUUAGCUUGUUGGCGGGGUAACGGCCCACCAAGGCAACGAUCAGUAGGGGUUCUGAGAGGAAGGUCCCCCACAUUGGAACUGAGACACGGUCCAAACUCCUACGGGAGGCAGCAGUGGGGAAUAUUGGUCAAUGGGCGGAAGCCUGAACCAGCCAAGUAGCGUGCAGGAUGACGGCCCUAUGGGUUGUAAACUGCCUUUAUACAGGAAUAAAGUUAGCCACGUGUGGUUAUUUGUAGGUACUGUAUGAAUAAGGACCGGCUAAUUCCGUGCCAGCAGCCGCCGUAA
rnacentral:rRNA from 1 species